rnacentral:pre_miRNA from 1 species
UGGUGUGAGAGGUUGAAGCUGCCAGCAUGAUCUGGUCCAGAGUUGUUGUUUCAUGGUUCAGACUUUAGAGCUCCCAUAAGCAUUAGCUGUAGGAAGAUUACUCAGCCUGAUCAUGGUGAUGGGAUCAAAACCAGUAGAUGUUAGAUUAGCUUCCAUUCCACCAUGAGAGAGUGAGGAAGAAAGAGAAAGAUGACCAGUUGGUUGGACUCCAUCAGAUCAUCUGGCAGUUUCAAUCACUCACUCA